ACGGAUGCUCCGUCCUGUGGGGUAACCGAAGGACGCCCCUGCCUUAGGUUCCCAGAGAGGCUCGCACAGCACCGCCCUGGCUGGGCGAGGCUGUGGAGAGGGAAAGUGCUCGCCCGAGCCCCCCACCUCAACCCCUCCUUUCCCGUGGAGGGGGAGGCCGAUGCUCGGUGCUAGCCCUGGAUGUCCUGCAAAUUGCAGCGGAAGGAGAAAGUAGCAAAUAAAGCUUUGCUGUAAGCGUA